rnacentral:rRNA from 1 species
UACAGAGGGUGCAAACGUUGCUCGGAAUCAUUGGGCGUAAAGCGCACGUAGGCGGUCAUGUAAGUCAGGAGUGAAAGCCCUCGGCUUAACCGGGGAAGUGCUUUUGAAACUGCAUGACUUGAAUACUGGAGAGGAUCGCGGAAUUCCCGGUGUAGAGGUGAAAUUCGUAGAUAUCGGGAGGAACACCAGUGGCGAAGGCGGCGAUCUGGACAGAUAUUGACGCUGAGGUGCGAAAGCGUGGGGAGCAAACAGG